GACGAACGCUGGCGGCGUGCUUAACACAUGCAAGUCGAACGGAAAGGCCCUUCGGGGUCCUCGAGUGGCGAACGGGUGAGUAACACGUGGGUGAUCUGCCCUGCACUUUGGGAUAAGCCUGGGAAACUGGGUCUAAUACCGAAUAGGACCACGCGCUUCAUGGUGCGUGGUGGAAAGCUUUUGCGGUGUGGGAUGGGCCCGCGGCCUAUCAGCUUGUUGGUGGGGUAAUGGCCUACCAAGGCGACGACGGGUAGCCGGCCUGAGAGGGUGACCGGCCACACUGGGACUGAGAUACGGCCCAGACUCCUACGGGAGGCAGCAGUGGGGAAUAUUGCACAAUGGGCGCAAGCCUGAUGCAGCGACGCCGCGUGAGGGAUGACGGCCUUCGGGUCGUAAACCCCUUUCACCAGGGACGAAGCGUAAGUGACGGUACCUGGAGAAGAAGCACCGGCCAACUACGUG
rnacentral:rRNA from 1 species